GCUUAUUACAUAGUUGCGUAUCUUUUUAGGGAUUUAGGGAAGUCCAAAGCGCCUAGGGGAGAAUCCUUUCUCGAUGGAUCUUGUGAAAGAACACACUUAAGGCCUUGACACCACAUCUAUCUUAAAAUCUUAAAGCAAUAGGUCUAUGGGUCUUUUCUGCUUAUAUGUCUCUCAUUCAUCCCAUCUUUUUCCGAUUUAGGAAUUCCACACUUG
rnacentral:misc_RNA from 1 species